rnacentral:rRNA from 1 species
GACGAACGCUGGCGGCGUGCUUAACACAUGCAAGUCGAACGGAAAGGCCCUGCUUUUGUGGGGUUCUCGAGUGGCGAACGGGUGAGUAACACGUGAGUAACCUGCCCUUGACUUUGGGAUAACUUCAGGAAACUGGGGCUAAUACCGGAUAUGAGCUCCUGCUGCAUGGUGGGGGUUGGAAAGUUUCGGCGGUUGGGGAUGGACUCGCGGCUUAUCAGCUUGUUGGUGGGGUAGUGGCUUACCAGGGCUUUGACGGGUAGCCUGCCUGAGAGGGUGACCGGCCACAUUGGGACUGAGAUACGGCCCAGACGCCUACGGGAGGCAGCAGUGGGGAAUAUUGCACAAUGGGCGGAAGCCUGAUGCAGCAACGCCGCGUGCGGGAUGACGGCCUUCGGGUUGUAAACCGCUUUCGCCUGUGACGAAGCGUGAGUGACGGUAAUGGGUAAAGAAGCACCGGCUAACUACGUG